AGAGUUUGAUCCUGGCUCAGGAUGAACGCUGGCGGCGUGCCUAACACAUGCAAGUCGAACGGAGUUCUUAAGGAAUGCGACUUCGGUCAAAUGACUUUUGAACUUAGUGGCGGACGGGUGAGUAACGCGUGAGCAACCUGCCUUUCAGAGGGGGAUAACAUUUGGAAACAGAUGCUAAUACCGCAUAAGAUUACAGUACCGCAUGAUACAGUGAUCAAAGGAGCAAUCCGCUGAAAGAUGGGCUCGCGUCCGAUUAGAUAGUUGGUGAGGUAACGGCUCACCAAGUCGACGAUCGGUAGCCGGACUGAGAGGUCGAACGGCCACAUUGGGACUGAGACACGGCCCAGACUCCUACGGGAGGCAGCAGUGGGGAAUAUUGCACAAUGGGCGAAAGCCUGAUGCAGCAACGCCGCGUGAGGGAAGACGGUUUUCGGAUUGUAAACCUCUGUUUUCGGUGACGAAUAAAUGACGGUAACCGAGUAGGAAGCCACGGCUAACUACGUGCCAGCAGCCGCGGUAAUACGUAGGUGGCAAGCGUUAUCCGGAAUUACUGGGUGUAAAGGGAGCGCAGGCGGGAUAGCAAGUCAGUUGUGAAAACUAUGGGCUCAACCCAUAGAUUGCAGUUGAAACUGUUAUUCUUGAGUGGAGUAGAGGCAAGCGGAAUUCCGAGUGUAGCGGUGAAAUGCGUAGAUAUUCGGAGGAACACCAGUGGCGAAGGCGGCUUGCUGGGCUCUAACUGACGCUGAGGCUCGAAAGUGUGGGGAGCAAACAGGAUUAGAUACCCUGGUAGUCCACACUGUAAACG
rnacentral:rRNA from 1 species